rnacentral:rRNA from 1 species
UACAGAGGCCUCAAGCGUUGUUCGGAAUUACUGGGCGUAAAGGGAAUGUAGGUGGUGAGAUAAGUCAGAUGUGAAAGCCCUGGGCUUAACCCGGGAAAUGCAUUUGAUACUGUUUUACUUGAGCGUGAGAUAGGAAAAGGGAAUUCCCGGUGUAGGAGUGAAAUCCGUAGAUAUCGGGAGGAAUACCGAUGGCGAAGGCGGGUCUCUGGGCAGUAACUGACGCUGAGGAGCGAAAGCGUGGGGAGCGAACAGG